GACGAACGCUGGCGGCGUGCUUAACACAUGCAAGUCGAACGCUGAAGCCCUUUCGGGGGUGGAUGAGUGGCGAACGGGUGAGUAACACGUGGGUAAUCUGCCCUGCACUCUGGGAUAAGCCUUGGAAACGGGGUCUAAUACCGGAUAGGACACAUCGCCGCAUGGUGUGUGUGUGGAAAGUUCCGGCGGUGCAGGUUGAGCCCGCGGCCUAUCAGCUUGUUGGUGGGGUGAUGGCCUACCAAGGCGACGACGGGUAGCCGGCCUGAGAGGGUGACCGGCCACACUGAGACUGAGACACGGCCCAGACUCCUACGGGAGGCAGCAGUGGGGAAUCUUGCGCAAUGGGCGAAAGCCUGACGCAGCAACGCCGCGUGGGGGAUGACGGCCUUCGGGUUGUAAACCUCUUUCGACCGGGACGAAGGGUGACUGGCGGUACCGGUAGAAGUAGCACCGGCUAACUACGUGCCAGCCGCCGCCGUAA
rnacentral:rRNA from 1 species